rnacentral:lncRNA from 1 species
CAAAUUUCAGAGAGAGAUCCAUCAGCCUCUCAAGUAACUGUGCAGACGAUCUGGAGCAUCUGAGAAGUCGGCACACAUCGAUCGAAGGAGUUCGAUCAACAUCUACCAUCAAAAGGGUGAAAUCACGAACUAGCAUUCGUGAGGAGCUGAUCAGACGGGAGCUUCGUGUGGAUGAUCUGCAGAGGCCAGACAGUUGGAUGGCUGCGACGUGAUGAUCAGAGCCCUCCGACGGUGAUCAGAUUGUGGUGAUCGACUACCCACAAAAGGUGAUGUGUUCUGAACACAGUAUUGUAAAACGUUUACUGAUUCAAAUUUGAAUUUUAAAUUUAAAUGCAUG